rnacentral:rRNA from 1 species
CCUACGGGUGGCUGCAGUGAGGAAUAUUGGUCAAUGGCCGGAAGGCUGAACCAGCCAUGCCGCGUGAAGGUCAGUGCCCUAUGGGCGUUAAACUUCUUUUGUGCGGGAGCAAUAAUGGUCACGUGUGGCCAGACGAGAGUACCGUACGAAUAAGCAUCGGCUAACUCCGUGCCAGCAGCCGCGGUAAUACGGGGGAUGCAAGCGUUUUCCGGAGUUAUUGGGUUUAAAGGGUGCGUAGGCUGUGCGGUAAGUCAGCGGGGAAAUGCCCCCGCUCAAAGGGGUGAAGUGCCAUUGAUACUGCCGUGCUGGAGUGCGGAUGCGGUGGGAGGAAUGUGUGGUGUAGCGGUGAAAUGCAUAGAUAUCACACAGAACACCGAUUGCGAAGGCAUCUCACGAAUCCGCGAUUGACGCUGAUGCACGAAAGCGUGGGUAUCAAACAGGAUUAGAUACCCCGGUAGUC